GUUCUUUGUUCUGUUCCAAGGCCGAUAGGCUAAUACUAGUAGUAAUAGGCCUAAUUAUAUUUUGAUUCUAUAGACUAUAGACAUAGUACACUUGGCACUGGGUCCAGUUUGACAAUUAUACACCCUGCCAUUACACACAAGCGAGGUAGCAUGUUGACUAGUGUUGUGUACCACUCAUGCAGCGGUACAGAAUUCAACGCCAAUCAUGAUCCCAUGAAUCAAUAUAUAUACUUACGGAAUAACAAUUUGUGCUCGUUUUUCCAGGCAUCUUAAUAUAUCUAGCGAGUACAGGUUUAUUCUGUCUGUAUUCAAUAACAAUCUGCUGUGAUGACCAACUCUCAAACGAAUGACGGAAUGACUCGAAAUGUCGUAUUUAUACUGUUCAAUUGUACAUUAUUAGAUUAUUACUGUAGUCUGUACGCCGGUGGAAACCCUGGCCCUGCAUGCAUGGGUUUUCCCCACUGACAUAAUUAUUAUUAUUUAUAUAUUUGAAUUUCAUUUUGUUUAGAGAUUUCCUCCAGUGUUUGCA
rnacentral:lncRNA from 1 species